GAUGAAGAACGCAGCGAAAUGCGAUAAGUAGUGUGAAUUGCAGAAUUCAGUGAAUCAUCGAAUCUUUGAACGCACAUUGCGCCCCUUUGGUAUUCCUUAGGGCAUGCCUGUUCGAGCGUCAUUUAAACCUUCAAGCUAAGCUUGGUGUUGGGUGACUGUCCGCUUCACUGCGGACUCGCCUCAAAAUUAUUGGCGGCCGGUACAUUGGCUUCGAGCGCAGCAGAAACGCGAACUCGGGCCCGUCGUAUUGGCUUCCAGAAGCUAUCUUCACAAUUUUGACCUCGGAUCAGGUAGGGAUACCCGCUGAACUUAAGCAUAUCAAUAAGCGGAGGA
rnacentral:misc_RNA from 1 species